GAGAUUUCUGCCUACUCCACCUGGAGGGGUGAGGGCCAGAACAAUGAUGACAGUCUUGUGACACUGAGUCCUCAUGAGAACCUGUGUGGUAGCCGGAGUUCUCACACUUUCCAGAUGAGGAAACAGGCUCAAGGAGGCCAGGCCACAAGCCCAAGCUCACACCCAGAGUGAGAGUUGGAGCUGGUCUUGUUCUGGAAUCACAAGACCUUAGAGGAUGGAAUGGCAUUGGUACCAGUUGACUCAAGUCAGAUGUCCAGUGUCGGAGGCCAGUGGUGCUGGAGAGAAAUGGGGUGAGGGGAGUAUGGCCUCACUGACACUGUCCUCGACCCUGACAAGAGGGGCCCUCCACGUUUGCUCCCCCAGAGAGCAACCCCCAGAGAGUGCAGGAGAAACAGCAGCAGCAGCAGGGGAAUGGGAUCAACCUUGAGAAGAGGACUGAGGAGCAGCAGUGGCACUCCCUGCAGGGGAGAAGAAAGAGGUGGAAAUCAGAGACCUUCUGGGCAGAACAGUCCUUGGCUCCACCCGCUGUAUCUUACAUUGAAUGGAAGAGUUUGAUACCAGAGAAGUGGGAGACCCAUCCAAUUGGCGGGUGGGUUGAGGGGAGGAUGGCAUCAAGGAAAUCUUCCUGGAGGAGGGGCUGAUUAUUCCCAUUCUGAGAACUGGUAGAUCCUGGAUGGAACUGGAGGGAAAGAGGGUUUCCAGGACUGGUCCCCGGCCCCGCUCCUCACCUCCAACAAGACCCCUGCAGCAUCCCCCACCCAGGCCCUGUCUGCAUCUUCUCCUUCCCUCUGG